UACGUAGGGGGCAAGCGUUGUCCGGAUUUAUUGGGCGUAAAGAGCGUGUAGGCGGCCAGGUAGGUCGGUUGUGAAAACUGGAGGCUUAACCUCCAGACGUCGACCGAAACCAUCUGGCUAGAGUCCGGAAGAGGAGAGUGGAAUUCCUGGUGUAGCGGUGAAAUGCGCAGAUAUCAGGAGGAACACCUAUUGCGAAGGCAGCUCGCUGGGACGUAACUGACGCUGAGACGCGAAAGCGUGGGGAGCAAACAGG
rnacentral:rRNA from 1 species